AACGAACGCUGGCGGCAUGCCUAACACAUGCAAGUCGAACGAGACCUUCGGGUCUAGUUGCGCACGGGUGCGUAACGCGUGGGAACCUGCCCUUAGGUUCGGAAUAACUCCCCGAAAGGGGUGCUAAUACCGGAUAAUGUCUUCGGACCAAAGAUUCAUCGCCCUUGGAUGGGCCCGCGUUGGAUUAGCUAGUUGGUAGGGUAAAAGCCUACCAAGGCGACGAUCCAUAGCUGGUCUGAGAGGAUGAUCAGCCACACUGGGACUGAGACACGGCCCAGACUCCUACGGGAGGCAGCAGUGGGGAAUAUUGGACAAUGGGCGAAAGCCUGAUCCAGCAAUGCCGCGUGAGUGAUGAAGGCCUUAGGGUUGUAAAGCUCUUUUACCCGGGAUGAUAAUGACAGUACCGGGAGAAUAAGCUCCGGCUAACUCCGUG
rnacentral:rRNA from 1 species